rnacentral:lncRNA from 1 species
UCCACCAUGUUUUUUUGUUUUUUGUUUUUUGUUUUUUGAGACGGAGCCUGGCUCUGUCCCCCAGACAGUUAGUGCAGUGUUGUGAUCUCCGCUCACUGCACAAAACAGGUAUCUCCAACCCCAAAAUAAAGAAGUUAUAAGAUCAUAAAAAUGUUAGAAGAAAACAUAGGAUUUCCCCCCAGUCUUCCAGGAAUCUUCCAAGCCUUAAAGCUAACAUAAGAAAUCAUAAAAAAGAAGAUUAAUUCAUACAACUCUAACCAAACCAUACGUUUCUACAUAACAAAAAUAUCAUGUACAAAAUUUAAAAAACCAAACAGCAAACUCGAGGAAAAUGGUUACAAGUCAUCCAGAAGGGUUAAUUUACAUCAUACAUAAAGUGUACCUAUAAAUACAUAAGAAAAUAAUGCUUCUCACAGCAUAUACACACACAUAAAGGCAAAGGAAAUGAAGAGACUGUUCAAAGAACAGGAAAUAUGGAUGGCUCAAAAACUUUCAAAAAGAUGUUUAACUUCCUUCAUAACAAGAGAAAUGCAAGUCACAACCACCACCAAAUACAAUUUUUUGCACAUCAAACUAGAAAAUAUGUAAAGAUUUGAUAAUCCCCUGGGUCAGGGAGGGUGUAGGGAACAGAACCACACAUAUUAUUAGUAUAAUUGUGCAUAGCUAAGAUUUCUACAGAAAACACUCUGACAGUAUUAACAUAAAAAUGCAGCCUACUUUCACCCUCCCACUUCUAAAAAUUUAUAAAUGGCAGUCCAGUCUGACAAUGGAAUACUAUGCAGACAUAAAAAAGAAUGAGUAUCUCUAUGUACUGAUGUAUUCAUCUCCAGCAUAAGUGAAAAAACAGUGUUUCGGAUACGCUAGUGUUUCUGAGACAAAAGGAACGAGUCCGAGAACUGGCUGAAGCCGAUGAACAGCGCCGGGAUCCAGGUGAGCAGCACGAGGGUCUUCUGAUAGCCCCCGCCCAGGCCCCCGACAGGCCGCCCCCAUGUCACCCGCCGGACCCCGCGCCCCGGGCGCUGCGGCCCCGCUCGGGCGCCGGGCAGAGGCGGGCAGAGGCCGGCCGGGCCCUCAGCCGCCGCGGCUCAUCAGUUCCGCGGCCCGGGCGCCGGCUGCAAGUGCAUGCGAUGUAAGCACGAUGCUGGGAUAUAUCUCCAACACAAGUUAUAAUACACACAGUAUAAACGUGAUGGCAUUCCCCACCCCCUCCCUAAGCCCAGCCAGCGCUGUAUAAAUAACACCAGCCCUGCGGCAAACGGCUACAUUAGCAUAUUUCCUCCUGCACCCAGCGCACGCACCAAAGAGAAUUAUCCGGCACCUUUCAACCCAGCGUCCCCACAUUUUGGAGGCAUUUCAUAUUCUAAGGGCAACAUGUGUUUACUGCAUAAAAUGCUGGCACAUACGUACCAGAGAACUAUUUCUGAAGGCUGCCGGGGGGCGGGUCUUGGGGGACAGGGGAGGUUGUGGACCUUCCUGCGUGGCCGAGAAGGGGUGAUUAGAUAACAAUGGGCGGAAGGGGCCCUAAGGGCUGCAAAAGACACCAGACCGCUGAGAAAUGGGUCUGGAAACCACAUAUAUAAAGAGCUGGGGGCUUGGGGCGGGGGGGGACACGAUAGUGCACGUUGUGUACGUGGUAAUUUUUCAACUUCACAUUAUUUAUUAGCUUAACUUUUCUUUUCCUUCCCUCUCCUCCCCUCAUUUGAAGAGCUAAUACAUGCAAAGUUCUGACCUCCAUGCCUGGAACAGAGUAAGUGCGCAAUGAAUGUUAGACAUGUAUUAUUACCAGUGCUCCUCUUGCCAUUACA